UACGUAGGUGGCAAGCGUUGUCCGGAUUUACUGGGCGUAAAGCGUAUGCAGGCGGAUCUUUAAGUAGAAAGUGAAAGGUUGGGGCUCAACCCCAACACUGCUCUCUAUACUGGGGGUCUUGAGUGCCGGAGAGGAAGAUGGAACUGCACGUGUAGCGGUGAAAUGCGUUGAGAUGUGCAGGAACACCAAUGGCGAAAGCAAUCUUCUGGACGGAUACUGACGCUGAGAUACGAAAGCCAAGGGAGCGAACAGG
rnacentral:rRNA from 1 species